rnacentral:rRNA from 1 species
AUGGCCCGCGUUAGAUAGGUAGUUGGUGGGGUAAUGGCCUACCAAGCCUACGAUCUAUAGCUGGUUUUAGAGGAUGAUCAGCAACACUGGGACUGAGACACGGCCCAGACUCCUACGGGAGGCAGCAGUGGGGAAUCUUGGACAAUGGGGGCAACCCUGAUCCAGCCAUGCCGCGUGAGUGAUGAAGGCCUUAGGGUCGUAAAGCUCUUUCGCCUGUGAAGAUAAUGACGGUAGCAGGUAAAGAAACCCCGGCUAACUCCGUGCCAGCAGCCGCGGUAAUACGGAGGGGGUUAGCGUUGUUCGGAAUUACUGGGCGUAAAGCGCACGUAGGCGGACUGGAAAGUUGGGGGUGAAAUCCCAGGGCUCAACCCUGGAACUGCCUCCAAAACUAUCAGUCUAGAGUUCGAGAGAGGUGAGUGGAAUUCCGAGUGUAGAGGUGAAAUUCGUAGAUAUUCGGAGGAACACCAGUGGCGAAGGCGGCUCACUGGCUCGAUACUGACGCUGAGGUGCGAAAGUGUGGGGAGCAAACAGGAUUAGAUACCCUGGUAGUCCACACCGUAAACGAUGA